CGGAGGAUCCAAGCGUUAUCCGGAUUUAUUGGGUUUAAAGGGUGCGUAGGCGGGACAGUAAGUCAGUGGUGAAAUCCUAUCGCUUAACGAUAGAAUUGCCAUUGAUACUGCUGACCUUGAGUACAAAUGAUGUGGGCGGAAUGUGCAGUGUAGCGGUGAAAUGCUUAGAUAUUGCACAGAACACCGAUAGCGAAGGCAGCUCACAAAAAUGUAACUGACGCUGAGGCACGAAAGUAUGGGGAUCAAACAGGAUUAGAUACCCUGGUAGUCCAUACAGUAAACGUUGAUAACUCGAUGUGUGCGAUAUACAGUACGCGUCCAAGGGAACCGAUAAGUUAUCCACCUGGGGAGUACGACCGCAAGGUUG
rnacentral:rRNA from 1 species